GAUGAAGAACGUAGCGAAAUGCGAUAAGUAAUGUGAAUUGCAGAAUUCAGUGAAUCAUCGAGUCUUUGAACGCACAUUGCGCCCCCUGGUAUUCCGGGGGGCAUGCCUGUCCGAGCGUCAUUGCUGCCCUCAAGCACGGCUUGUGUGUUGGGCCGUCGUCCCCCUCCUAGGGGACGGGCCCGAAAGGCAGCGGCGGCACCGCGUCCGGUCCUCGAGCGUAUGGGGCUUCGUCACCCGCUCCGUAGGCCCGGCCGGCGCUUGCCGACGACCAUCAAUCUCUUUCUCCAGGUUGACCUCGGAUCAGGUAGGGAUACCCGCUGAACUUAAGCAUAUCAAAAGCGGAGGA
rnacentral:misc_RNA from 1 species